rnacentral:rRNA from 1 species
GACGAACGCUGGCGGCGUGCUUAACACAUGCAAGUCGAGCGGUAAGGCCCUUUCGGGGGUACACGAGCGGCGAACGGGUGAGUAACACGUGGGUGACCUGCCCUUAGCUCUGGGAUAAGCCUGGGAAACUGGGUCUAAUACCGGAUAUGACUCCAUGACGCAUGUUGUGGGGUGGAAAGCCUUGUGCGGCUAGGGAUGGGCCCGCGGCCUAUCAGCUUGUUGGUGGGGUGAUGGCCUACCAAGGCGACGACGGGUAGCCGGCCUGAGAGGGCGACCGGCCACACUGGGACUGAGACACGGCCCAGACUCCUACGGGAGGCAGCAGUGGGGAAUCUUGCGCAAUGGGCGAAAGCCUGACGCAGCGACGCCGCGUGAGGGAUGAAGGCCUU